rnacentral:rRNA from 1 species
UACGGGGGGGCAAGCGUUGUUCGGAAUUACUGGGCGUAAAGGGCGCGUAGGCGGUUGGAUAAGUCAGCUGUGAAACCACGGGCUUAACUCGUGGCCUGCAGUUGAGACUGCCUGGCUUGAGUGUGGGAGAGGAGAGUGGAAUUCCUGGUGUAGCGGUGAAAUGCGUAGAUAUCUGGAGGAACACCGAUGGCGAAGGCAGCCUCCUGGGCCAACACUGACGCUCAUGACACGAAAGCGUGGGGAGCAAACAG